rnacentral:rRNA from 1 species
GGAUGAGCCCGCGUAGGAUUAGCUAGUUGGUGGGGUAAAGGCCUACCAAGGCGACGAUCCUUAGCUGGUCUGAGAGGAUGAUCAGCCACACUGGGACUGAGACACGGCCCAGACUCCUACGGGAGGCAGCAGUAGGGAAUAUUGGACAAUGGGCGAAAGCCUGAUCCAGCAAUGCCGCGUGAGUGAUGAAGGCCUUAGGGUUGUAAAGCUCUUUUACCCGAGAAGAUAAUGACAGUAUCGGGAGAAUAAAGCUCCGGCUAACUCCGUGCCAGCGCCGCGGUAAUACGGAGGGAGCUAGCGUUGUUCGGAAUACUGGGCGUAAAGCGCACGUAGGCGGCGAUUUAAGUCAGAAGUGAAAGCCCGGGGCUCAACCCCGGAAUAGCCUUUGAGACUGGAUUGCUUGAAUCCGGGAGAGGUGAGUGGAAUUCCGAGUGUAGAGGUGAAAUUCUAGAUAUUCGGAAGAACCCAGUGGCGAAGGCGGCUCACUGGACCGGCAUUGACGCUGAGGUGCGAAAGCGUGUAGAGCA